CACGCACGCACUAGAAAGAUAAAAUCAUGUCUAUUCUGCAAUCAGCUUUAGGAGUUCCACUUCACAGGCUGUAAUGAAUUGACAUCUGGAUCAUCACUAUCCCAGAAGUCAGCAAUACAGCCACAACUUGGACACUGUCUACCUCGUAUACCAUGGCAACAGCUGGAAAGGCAGAGAGGACACCUUUGAAGUUUUGACGUAAAAUGUUUUAAAGAGCAAUUCAGAAUGGAUUUGAAGUCAUGGCCUUUGACAACAAUGUUAAUGACCUAUAUUCUUCCCCGUUUUAAUUUAUGAAUGAGAGUGUCUGGGAUGGUA